AGAGCGAACGCUGGCGGCAGGCUUAACACAUGCAAGUCGAGCGGGCACCUUCGGGUGUCAGCGGCAGACGGGUGAGUAACACGUGGGAACGUACCCUUCGGUUCGGAAUAACGCUGGGAAACUAGCGCUAAUACCGGAUACGCCCUUUUGGGGAAAGGUUUACUGCCGAAGGAUCGGCCCGCGUCUGAUUAGCUAGUUGGUGGGGUAACGGCCUACCAAGGCGACGAUCAGUAGCUGGUCUGAGAGGAUGAUCAGCCACACUGGGACUGAGACACGGCCCAGACUCCUACGGGAGGCAGCAGUGGGGAAUAUUGGACAAUGGGCGCAAGCCUGAUCCAGCCAUGCCGCGUGAGUGAUGAAGGCCUUAGGGUUGUAAAGCUCUUUUGUCCGGGACGAUAAUGACGGUACCGGAAGAAUAAGCCCCGGCUAACUUCGCGCCAGCAGCCGC
rnacentral:rRNA from 1 species